UACGAAGGGUGCAAGCGUUACUCGGAAUUACUGGGCGUAAAGGGUGCGUAGGUGGUUCUUUAAGUCUGCUGUGAAAGCCCCGGGCUCAACCUGGGAAUGGCAGUGGAUACUGGAGAGCUAGAGUGCGGUAGAGGGUAGUGGAAUUCCCGGUGUAGCAGUGAAAUGCGUAGAGAUCGGAAAGAACACCAACGGCGAAAGCACUCUGCUGGGCCGACACUGACACUGAGAGACGAAAGCUAGGGGAGCAAAUGGG
rnacentral:rRNA from 1 species